GAAGCUGACCAGACAGUCGCCGCUUCGUCGUCGUCCUUUCGGGGAGACGGGCGGAGGGGAGGAAAGUCCGGGCUCCAUAGGGCAGGGUGCCAGGUAACGCCUGGGGGGGAAACCCACGACCAGUGCAACAGAGAGCAAACCGCCGAUGGCCCACGUAAGUGGGAUCAGGUAAGGGUGAAAGGGUGCGGUAAGAGCGCACCGCGCGGCUGGUAACAGUCCGUGGCACGGUAAACUCCACCCGGAGCAAGGCCAAAUAGGGGUUCAUAAGGUACGGCCCGUACUGAACCCGGGUAGGCUGCUUGAGCCAGUGAGCGAGGUUCAUAAGGUACGGCCCGUACUGAACCCGGGUAGGCUGCUUGAGCCAGUGAGCGAUUGCUGGCCUAGAUGAAUGACUGUCCACGACAGAACCCGGCUUAUCGGUCAGUUUCACUU
rnacentral:RNase_P_RNA from 1 species